rnacentral:rRNA from 1 species
AAUCGACCGCCUGGGGAGUACGGCCGCAAGGUUAAAACUCAAAUGAAUUGACGGGGGCCCGCACAAGCGGUGGAGCAUGUGGUUUAAUUCGAUGCAACGCGAAGAACCUUACCUGGUCUUGACAUCCACAGAACUUUCCAGAGAUGGAUUGGUGCCUUCGGGAACUGUGAGACAGGUGCUGCAUGGCUGUCGUCAGCUCGUGUUGUGAAAUGUUGGGUUAAGUCCCGCAACGAGCGCAACCC